CUGUAAACAAGGCAAACCCAUCGAAAGGUGGGGACGCAAAAUCUCCGGCCUAAAGGGCGUCCGACGUCCCACGGUAGCGGGAUCGCCAGG
rnacentral:ncRNA from 1 species